AAUUAAUUUACUGGUAACUCUAGUAAUAUGCAGACGCAGCAAUGUUAACACAUAGGGCUCAAUUUGCUGGAUGUAGUUAGCAAGGUAACAGGAAGCACUGUUUAUUAACAAUGCAUUUUAAAAAUUCACAAGUGGUUAUUUUUUAUGCAAUUAUUGUAGUAAAAAGUAUCCAUAGAAAAGAAUGUAAAUGAUUCCCCCUGUUAGUUGUUUACUAAAUAGUAUAUUGGAAUAUCAUGCACAAAUAUACUGGUUUUUAGUGUAAAUUAUAUUCCUAAAAACUAUUUCUG